AUAGACAACUAUAUCUUGUUGAAGCUCCGCCUUGAAAUGUAUGUUUCUGAAGACCCCAAAGAAGCCCAUGACAUGUUCACAUGAACAGUAAGAUUUGAGGGCGAGAUGAGUGGGAGAGAAAGGACGAGAAAGUAUAGAGACCGAAUCAACAGUGAUCCACAGAGAAGGGAGGCAAUCCUUGCAGAGCGACGGAGAAAAUAUCAACAAAGGAAGGCUGAAGGAAAACUGUCUCAUCUCAUC